AAACUACUUCCUUCGUCCCGUAUUAAGUGUCGCAACUUUGUCUAAAUACACAUGUACCCGCACACUCAAACGUGUCUAGAUACAUGCGCAUCUAGACAAAGUUGUGACACUUAAUACAAGACAGAGGGAGUAUAUU
rfam:Brachypodium distachyon strain Bd21 chromosome 2, whole genome shotgun sequence.